CUGACGCUAAAGCUCGAAGGUGCGGGUAUCGAACAGGAUUAGAUACCCUGGUAGUCCGCACGGUAAACGAUGGAUGCCCGCUGUUGGCGAUAUAGUGUCAGCGGCCAAGCGAAAGCGUUAAGCAUCCCACCUGGGGAGUACGCCGGCAACGGUGAAACUCAAAGGAAUUGACGGGGGCCCGCACAAGCGGAGGAACAUGUGGUUUAAUUCGAUGAUACGCGAGGAACCUUACCCGGGCUUGAACUGCCAGCGGACGAUACAGAGAUGUUGAGGCCCUUCGGGGCGCUGGUGGAGGUGCUGCAUGGUUGUCGUCAGCUCGUGCCGUGAGGUGUCGGCUUAAGUGCCAUAACGAGCGCAACCCCUUUCGUCAGUUGCCAUCAGGUAGAGCUGGGCACUCUGGCGACACUGCCACCGUAAGGUGUGAGGAAGGUGGGGAUGACGUCAAAUCAGCACGGCCCUUACGUCCGGGGCUACACACGUGUUACAAUGGGAGGUACAGAGAGCCGGCCGCCUGCAAAAGCGGUCCAAUCAAGAAAGCCUUCCUCAGUUCGGAUUGGGGUCUGCAACCCGACCCCAUGAAGCUGGAUUCGCUAGUAAUCG
rnacentral:rRNA from 1 species